rnacentral:rRNA from 1 species
UACGUAGGGGGCAAGCGUUGUCCGGAAUUACUGGGCGUAAAGCGCGUGUAGGCGGUUAAUUAAGUCAGAUGUGAAAUCUUAAGGCUCAACCUUAAGCAUGCAUCUGAUACUGGUUGACUUGAGGACAGGAGAGGGAAGUGGAAUUCCUAGUGUAGCGGUGAAAUGCGUAGAUAUUAGGAGGAACACCAGUGGCGAAGGCGACUUCCUGGCCUGUAACUGACGCUGAGACGCGAAAGCGUGGGGAGCGAACAGGAUUAGAUACCCUGGUAGUCCACGCCGUAAACGAUGAGUACUAGGUGUUGGAGGUAUCGACCCCUUCAGUGCCGCAGUUAACGCAAUAAGUAUCCCACCUGGGGAGUACGAUCGCAAGGUUGAA